rnacentral:lncRNA from 1 species
GGAAAGCCUGAUUUAGCAUGUAACGUGAACAUGAGCGGACACCCACACAAUCUCAGUUUGAAGAAGAAGUACCAUACCAUUGUAGUUUUUAGGGCAAAAAAGAAUGGGUCAUAUUUGUCAAUUGAUAACUGAGUGAGAGAAGACAAUCACGUUCUUAAAGCGGUCGGUUCGCUGGAUUCACUACCGUCCCCUAUUGAUCGGCUGCCCGUGAAACACAUAGGCUCCUAUCGCAUUUAUCGAUCGAGAAUGGUCUCAUCACAGAAACACUUUCUAUAUGCUAUUUCGAGGUUCUAAGAAGCAAGCAAGUUUAUAGGGCAUAUAGUUGUUUUUUUGUAGGG